rnacentral:rRNA from 1 species
GAUGAACGCUGGCGGCGUGCCUAAUACAUGCAAGUCGAGCGAACGGACGAGAAGCUUGCUUCUCUGAUGUUAGCGGCGGACGGGUGAGUAACACGUGGAUAACCUACCUAUAAGACUGGGAUAACUUCGGGAAACCGGAGCUAAUACCGGAUAAUAUUUUGAACCGCAUGGUUCAAAAGUGAAAGACGGUCUUGCUGUCACUUAUAGAUGGAUCCGCGCUGCAUUAGCUAGUUGGUAAGGUAACGGCUUACCAAGGCAACGAUGCAUAGCCUACCUGAGAGGGUGAUCGGCCACACUGGAACUGAGACACGGUCCAGACUCCUACGGGAGGCAGCAGUAGGGAAUCUUCCGCAAUGGGCGAAAGCCUGACGGAGCAACGCCGCGUGAGUGAUGAGGGUCUUCGGAUCGUAAAACUCUGUUAUUAGGGAAGAACAUAUGUGUAAGUAACUGUGCACAUCUUGACGGUACCUAAUCAGAAAGCCACGGCUAACUACGUG